GAUGAACGCUGGCGGCGUGCCUAAUACAUGCAAGUCGAGCGAAUGGAUUAAGAGCUUGCUCUUAUGAAGUUAGCGGCGGACGGGUGAGUAACACGUGGGUAACCUGCCCAUAAGACUGGGAUAACUCCGGGAAACCGGGGCUAAUACCGGAUAACAUUUUGAACCGCAUGGUUCGAAAUUGAAAGGCGGCUUCGGCUGUCACUUAUGGAUGGACCCGGGUCGCAUUAGCUAGUUGGUGAGGUAACGGCUCACCAAGGCAACGAUGCGUAGCCGACCUGAGAGGGUGAUCGGCCACACUGGGACUGAGACACGGCCCAGACUCCUACGGGAGGCAGCAGUAGGGAAUCUUCCGCAAUGGACGAAAGUCUGACGGAGCAGCGCCGCGUGAGUGAUGAAGGCUUUCGGGUCGUAAAACUCUGUUGUUAGGGAAGGACAAGUGCUAGUUGAAUAAGCUGGCACCUUGGCGGUACCUAACCAGAAAGCCACGGCUAACUACGUGCCAGCCGCCGCCGUAA
rnacentral:rRNA from 1 species